CACCAUAUAGAGUGGGAUAGAUUUCAUACUUCAAAACCAUGUAAUGUGGUAUUUGGGCUUUCUUGAUUCAUUGUUUUUACGUGUUUAAUAAGCUUUUGUGAUUUUGGAAGUGCAUUUAAUUAGUGGAUAAUAUAUUGGUCAUCGAUUUCACAUGUCACGAAGUGUUAAUCUCUUCGACACUUGGAUUUUCUUGUCUUACACUGUGAAAAAAAUCUGAUUUUCAUCCUAUUAUUUCAAAUAUUACAAUUUCGAUUCUCUCACUGAUCUUUAGCAUUUUUAAAUUACUACCAAAUCUCUCUAUAUAUCCCUUUAUUUUGAAGAAAUCAAGAUGCUUCCAUAGGUAUUGUGUUUUUUCUUCUUUUUGAUAUUUCUAGAUCGAAUACUUUUCAUAUAGAGCGUCAUAUCUUGCCAAUUUUUUAUUAUCUCUCUUUAAAGUUUUAUUAUAAUAAACUAUACUUAUAACACACUAAAAAAUGUUUUUAAAUGAGCUUUAAAAAAGGUAUCUAUAUUUAAGAAUCCAAAGAUGUGCUUUAACAUGCCACGUCUUUUUAAUUUACUGCAGAAUAGAACUUGAGCAUCUCAAGAUAAAAAUACGAUAUUUUUCAAAUUAUAAAAUGUUAAUCUUCGAGUCUUUUUGAGUAUUGAAAUAGACUUAAAAAAAUAUAAAAUAGUGUUCAGUUCCAUUUCUAAGUCAUCUCAUUUAGUAAGUAUUCAUUUUAGUGACAUUUAUGUCACAAUGCAAUUUUUUCAGUUGAAAAUCAAGUUGAACAUUUCUCAAUAAAGAAUUUAUUUUUAUCAAUACUCAAAAAAUUUCUCCUUAGAAUAUUGUGUUGAAAACUAGACUUAAAACCAAAUCUUAACAUCAUAGUGGGAAUCUUAAAUAAUACUUUUCUUUAGAGAAAUAAAUAAGUGAUAUUUACGUCACAAAAUAAAUGUUGUAGAAUUCCAGAAUGAACACUUUUAGUAAAAUUGUCCUUUAUCUCUACCAUCAUGGAGUUUUCAUUUCAAACCAAUUUUGUUUGAAUGUAGACACAUAAUAAUAACACAUAUAUUUCCACAAACUUUAUAUCACUCUGUUAAGUAGGCUUGAUAAAUAUUGCUAUUCAUGUAUUCAUUAAAAGACAAAUACCAAAUUGCAGAAAAUUCUGGAUAACCUCUUUUCAAUUCAAAAUUUUUAUUCCACUCUUCUCAUAGAAAUUUUUCUUUCAAAUAAAAUUUAUUAGAAAUUAGACUCAAAAUGGAAGUCUAAAAACUUAGUGUAAGCCAUAAAAAUCUCUGUUAAGAUUAGAAAUAAAAUCUUGACUUCUAAUUCAUGGAAAUAAAUUUUUUUUUAGAAAACAGCACUUGCGUACCUUUUCAUAAAUCGAUCAUAUCUUUCAAACCACAAUGAAUUUUUUGAUAAAAAUUUUUUUGUCUGAAAAGUAGACUCAAUUUUAUAAGUCACAAUAAAAUUUCAGCAGAAAAUAAAAUCAUAUAAUUGGUGGGUAAAUUCAUGGAGCUCAAUAGACAUUUUCUAGAUUUUGUUGGUUCAGAACUGAGACUUUUCAAUGACGAGUUCAUAAUUUUUAAUUCCUUUAGGAUCUCCCACUGUAAUUUUGUAGGUAGAUCCUACUCUUAAAACAAUAUUAUUGAAGUACGUAAUAGAAAAAUACAUCAUUAUCUUCUUCAUAUCACUGCUUCAAAAUAGUUCAGUAUGCCUAUUUUGUAGUGUGCUUUUUAAUGUUUGAAUAUUCAAUGAUUCUUAACCGUGGGUGUAUUACUUGAUCACAAAGGUCAUUAGCUUUUAUAUAUCUCAUUCCCAAGCUUGAUCUAAACUCUCAAUAAAGAGAAAAAUAUAACUAAUGACAUCAAGUAUCAAUAGUUCUGAUACCAAUGAAAGAAAGACUAAUGCGAUCUUGUUGGGGAAUGUAUUUUUUUAAUUUUUAUUUUUUUAUUUUUUAUUUUUUAUUUUUUGGCAAAGAUCACCUACAAGUAGUCUUAUUACAAUAAUUCUUGCUUCAAAGAAAAUAAAACUAACAAAUUCAUGAUCUUAAAAACCUUGAUGCUAUUAAACGAAUUUUCUUUAAACAAAGAAAAUAUCUACAAUUUUUAUGCUUGGGAAUAUAACAAGAAAUAAAAAAAAGAGAAUGUCGGAGAUUAUUUUAACCAGGUUUAUUACAUCCCAUACCGAGUUAGCAAUAUCCGAUAGCGUGGGGCGUGCCUCUAUGGGAGAGAGAGGAGAGAUAGAGUUGUGGGAGGGAAAAAAGUGUAGAGUAUAGGGAGAGUGUGCGCCUCUAUUUAUAGAAAAAAACUUAGGUUUAGAGUUUCUUAAUGUUUCUCAUAAUUUGCCUCUUUUUGGAGAGUAAUUAUGGAUUUUUGAUCAAUGUGAUUUGUGGGGUGAGAGAUUUGAGUUAUCCAUUCUACAGAUGUGCCAUCAACAUUAUGGAAGGUGCUUUGAUCAUUAUCUCCCUUUUCUUAAACUAUUUUCCCAUCAACAUAUUUAAAUAAAUAGAAUGUUAUUUAAAUAUUAUUCAUUGCAUAAAAUAACAUCUUAUUUAUCAUACUAUUUAAAGAAAUGUGUCAAGAUAUGCUUUUAACAUUUACGAUAAGAUGUGGUCAAUCUUUUCUAUAUCUAAUAUUCGAUCACAUGCCACAAGAUACAUUUUCUAAACUUAAAUAGCUUGACCACAAAGCAAAUAACCAAAAGGUAGGGUGUGCCACCCAUGUGUUGUACGUGUGGGCCCCAUCCACAUGGUACAUGGUGGGCCCAUGUGCACUAUGGAACCUCAUGAUAUUUAACAAAUUAAUUUAUAAAAUAUUAUUUGAAUUUUAUACUUUUGUAAAAUCUAUAGCUUUAUUUUUAUAAGUUCAAAAAUUAUAAUUAAAAUAUCAAUAGACUUAUAAAAAUUCAAAUAAUAAUUUUAAAUCAAUUUCUGUCAUAAAAUAAAUAUAAUUAAAUUAAUAUAACGAGAAAUGGAUCCCUAUGGUUUAAGAAUUGAAUUAACAAUCAUGGGACACUCCACCUUCAACUGUGGACUACGGAUUACACUUGCUUUAUCUGACCGAUCUAGUAUUUUCAAUGAUCCUUAGUUCAAGUAGAGGCUCAUUAGUGGGUUACUAAAGCCUGAUCAAUGAGCCAAGGGGUCGCAAUUCCAGUAUGUGAAUUUCAGGUCAUCCCCUAGAAACGAAUAAAGGUCACUAAGACCUUAUGCGACCACAACUCUAUAGCGUAUAGGAAUAUAUCUCGUACAUGUAUAUGCUUUACCCUAAAAGGUGGAUAUCUGGUUUUUCCGAACAAUCUAUUGAUAUGCAUGUCGUGUAAUGGAUCAUAGAUGAGGCUUUGGACACCGUCUCUAUCGACCCACCAUUACGAAUAAGGGUCACACAGUCCCUCAGCUCAUUCAUUUAGGCAUAAGCUUCGACUUCAUCAAAGGAUAAUUUAGAAUUCUUCUUGAUUUGUUCUCUAUACUUAGAUACAGAGUUUUUCAACCGACUGGCCUAGAUCGUUAAGUACAGUCUGGUAUUAGCAAACAUCGUUUGCAUAGUAUGGUCUACGAUGUGUCACACUCUCAUUAAGUUCAUGUUCUACUUUAUUGUUUUAUUUUACAAGCACUCAUAAGGUCUUUAAAUGUCACAUAAACCCAACACUAUGACUACAUAUACGGGUUAGGUAUGGCUGGACUUAGUCCCAAAUAGUAUUAGGGUCCAAAAUUUGGACUCGUACUCGGACUAGAGGUUGAGUCAACUCGUUGGGUCUCGCGUCGGGUCUGUCCAUUGUCACCCUUAUUUGGGUCGACCUAGUUUGGACAAUAAAACCAACAUUCUAUUUAUAUAAAAAAUAAAUAGACAAUCACCUAGAUUUUUCUAUUUUUAUUUUUAAAUUAAAAUAUUAUGAAGCUAGAUUUUUUUGCCACCAUGUCAUGAUUUCAAAAUUCAUAUAGUAGAUAACUACUUCAAAACAUCAAUUUAUUUUUCAUCACAUCACAAACAACAUCAAAUACAUGACAAUUGGUAACCUAAGAGCAGAGAGCUAAGACCCAUGUCAAAAACUAAUAUUCUUUUCCUACUCAACUCUAGAUAGAGAGAGAGGAAACUCUCAUUAAAUAAUGGUUGGAAACUCCACUUGAAUGUUGAACAGACAUUCAAACACGAAACCACGUCUCCAUAUUCACUUAUUUUUACAGGAAAAGAGAAAUUCAUAAUGCAUUACCUCUAAAAAAAUGUUAUUUAUAAUGAUCUUUAAUGAUUUGUUUUGAAAAUUUGAAGGCCAGAUCUAAUGGAUUCGGUCAAUUCUCUAAUCCAAAUUGCUGAUUUGCUAAAAUAACCUAUUUUUUAGGAUGGACGAUCUGGGUCAUUGAUCCGUUUUUUGAAUACUUGAAGAUAAUACAUCAUUCAAUAGGAAAUAUUUAUUCUCCACCGUCUAUUGCUUGGGAAUAAAAAAAUCCCUAUAUUGUACCAUGCAUGCCUCAUAAUAUAGAGUGAGGUUUGUAUAAGGUUUUUCCACCUUAUACUAUUGGAGUAAGGUGUGCCUCAAAACUAUGUUGAAAAUGCAGUUUUGGUGCCGCAUAGCCUUGAGAUGAUUUAAAAAUCUAUUUUUACCCCCAAUUAUAAAAUUUAAAGUUCUUGAAAUAGUGGCGAUCAAGCGGAUCUAUAAACACUUGAAAAUCUUGAAAAUGAAUGGUCCAUAUAAUAUGUUAGAAGAUAAACUACUUUUAGGACUAGAAAUCUUCCCCCCACCCCUUCUUUUUUUUUUUUUUUUCCUUUAUGUUUAUGAAUUUUGUGGUUAAAAUAAUUGAUUUGAGGAUUUUCUAGAAUAAGAACAACCUUCACUAGUAGAUUGUUUAGGUGCACCUUAUCGGUACAGUAUAAGGUUAAGACCUUAUAUUAACAUUUUCCUGUAAUAUAUCCUUAGUGUUUGGUUUAGCUUUUCAACAGUUUUGUACGCCAUUGUUCGUUACAUAAACAUGAACAUCUAUGUCAGUGCUUGAUAUUGUUUAAAAUGCUAAUCUCAAAAAUUGGGCUUUCAGACCCAAAAUAAUUGUACACCAUUUUAACAGGGGUUAGGUAGAAUUACAACACGGAAUUUAGACAUCUCUUGUUUCUUUUUUGUCGAACUUUUUUUCUAUACGGUCUUUCUACGAAAAACUUCAGAAAUUUGAAAAUCCAAGGUUGUUCCUUAAUUAGAAGAACUUUGGAUUUUGAAAAUCCAAGGUUUUUUGUCCUCAAUGUUUCCAGGUAUUUUUAUUUCUCAAUGACAUUUUAAGAGACUUUGAUGUACUGUGGACUCUUGAAAACCGAAUUAUAGGUUUUUUUAUCCUUUUAGGAAAAUAGUGAACAUAUUGGGUAUGAGUGUAGUAAUGUAUAUGUUAAAAAGGAGAAUUAUGAAAUAGCAAUACUUUAGAUAGAUUUGCUCGUUAAUUACUUUAUUAAAAGUGGAUGAGGUCUAUAAGGUGUAGGCUUUAUGAAAAUAAAAUACAGCAUUGCUUCAAAUUCUCGUAUGGUUACUUUUGGCAACAUAAAUCUCCAUGAUGGUUCUAAUAUCAAUUUCCAACACUGAUAAGGGAAUUCGAAACUCAAAAAAUAAUACUGAUUUUAUGGAUUUAUAAAACUUAUUUUUUAGAGUGAAAUGGAUGGUCUAAAUAAUUUAUUAUAGUGCAAACUUUUUUUAGAGUUUGAAAUCUUUUUUUUACUACUAUGUUCAAGCCAAAAUGAUCCAUAUAAAGAAUUUCUAAUGCUUGAAUUCCAAUUUUUAAUGGGUUAUUAAGUGAGGCUGUACUAAUUUUAAUAGGUCUGCAGCCCUAUCAAACCAUUUUCCUUUCCCUAAAUUAAGAUCCUUAGAACUUAGACAGUGCCACGUGGCAAGGAACUAUAUCAUGUCGACUAGGAGUCUUCUCUCUAGGUUCAAUGUAGAUAAAACUCCCAUUUCCACUUCUGGCAAAUUUCCUGACCUCUUUUAAGAGGAGUUACUCUUCAAAAGCUGGAGUCCUUAUAUAAGGCAACACAUAACCAGUGUCAACUUCUUAAGUAACUCCCUACUCAAACAAUGGAGUUUUCAGUGUCUUUGCUUUGGAAUUCAGUUCGAAAGAGAAGGGUCAGGGCUAGGGUUUUGGAAGAGCAAAGGGUGAGGCUCUACAUAAUCCGACGGUGCUUGAUCAUGCUCUUGUGUUGGAGGGACAGUCGAGAUUAAAGGCACGUAUGCUUCUCCCUGUAUAUGUAUGCUUAUAUGUGUGUGGAAGUUUUCAUUGCAACAGAUUUCUACAUUGUCGAUAUGUAUCUGAAAUUUCAUUCUAAAUGCUCUCACUCUCUCACUCACAUAUAUAUAUAUAUAUAUAUAUAUAUAGAAAACUUAAAAAAAAAAGCUUAUAGGUGACUUUGAAUGUUUUACCCGACUACAUACAUGUUAUGUCUGUGGCGGUAUAUCGAGCGGAAUUGCAACAGACGAAAUGUGGUUUGGGGUGGUUUUUUCAUGUUUUUUUAUUGCUAUGGACAUGUUAUGUUUAUGAUGGGAUAUCGCCACGGACAUGUUAAGUCGGUGGUGGUCUUCAGUCCUCGCCAUAAAAAAAAUUGGAUGGUGUUGAGACUAUAGGUGAAAAGAUUGUUCAUUUUCGCCCAUAGGCAUUGUAUGGUGGCUUCCUAUAUAUAUAUACACACACACAUAAUGUGAUCAUUUCCCUUUGGUACAAGGGCAUCACAAUUAUUUAUGACCAUCCGAUGUGUAUUAUAUAUCUUGGGUCUUCUAUAUAAUUUGUUUUGAAAUUUGAGCUUGGUCAACGAAAAUCGUAUAUUAACAAUUAAAUUAGAGCCCUUCUCAAAAAUUUCACUAAAAGAUGUUGUUUUGAUGCUCAGAUAUCCUCAAAUUGAUCAUCUCGACAUAAGAUGCACGGACAUGAGAAAAAAAUGGAUGUCAAGUUUUGAAAAUAAUACAUCUUGUAACGCAUUUUUGAACCUUUAAUUUUCAAGGUUUUCAACUUUUCAUAAAUCUACUCGAUCUACACCAUUUUUGAAAACUUUAAAUUUUAUUAUUAAAGAUGAAAAAUAUUUUAAGGCUAUCACAAAGAUUUCCAGUAUUAUAACCACAUUUUUCGCUUUACUUUGAUUGUUUAGAGCGUCAGUUCUAUACAAACUGCACCGUAUUUUUUAUAUAUGGGCAGCUGGUUUCCCAUUGGGAAAGGCAGCCAAUCCAAAAUUAUAAGGAGGAAAACUAAAAGAAAAGUGAAUAGAGAAUGCACACAAAAAGAUAAAGAGUGAAAAGCUAGGAACCGUUUGCUUUCCUUUUGUGUUUUCAGAAGAAAAUUUUUAAAAUUUUUUGAGAGACAUUAUUGAGCAUUUUACAUAUUUGGGACUAUUCCAACUCAUAUCAUAUAACACGUAUUUUGAAAUUGAAUCAAUAACAUGUUAAAUAAUCCAUCUGUUAUACAUUCAAUAAAAAUAAUGCAUCUAUUGUAGGAGGCAUUCAUAUACAGGAUACUGCAUCCCAAAGGUCACCCUUUUGUUAUUAUAUGAGGAACCCAGUUUUAUUUUUGCAAUGGAUUUUAAGACUUAAUUUUUAAAGAUACGUAAUCUCUAACAUAGAGAUUAUGAAUAUGAAAAAAUAAACUAAUUUUAAAACCUAGAAAUAAUAAUUCUAGGAAAAAAAACAUUUGGACCAUUAGUUUCCAUUGUUUUUAGAUGAAACACUUAUUUGCAGAUGGACUGCAUAUGCAGAAAUACUGUCCAACCCGCAUGGAACAAUUUUCUUUAUUCCAGACCUAUAUCUACUUGGAGAAGCAAUGGCCUGUUGGAGGCAAUGGCUUUUAGUCUCUUCCUUUAAAGAAACAAAUCUUAUUCAAACUUAAGUUUCUAUAUGUUCAAAAUAUUUUUGAAUUUAUUAGCCGAUCUCAAAUAGUUGGAAAAAAUCUGACCUUUUAACCACUUAUUGAUUCUUUCAAAAUGUCCUUUAAACACUCCCUAAUUCCGACUAACACAAAGAACCAAAAUCGAUCCGACUAACACAACCAUAAUCCAUUCUUACAGGUGCUUCUUUCUCCAUACACCCUAACCGGAAACCAAAACCGAUUUCCGCAUCCAAAGAAAGUUGAAAUACAAAGAGAUAAAAAAGAAAAAAAAGUUAAUGAUUAUUGUUAUUAUUAUUGAUAUGUAAAAGGCCUUCAUCAACCACGAGCACCUACACAUACAAAACAAAAAUAACAAAAUAAACCCUGGUUUUGUAGAGAGAGAGAGAGAUCAGUCAAGAUACUAACCGGGGCCGCAUUUGAUUUCACACUUGCGCUCGCAGCGAGCUUGUAGGCGUUCUGCAAUUCAUAAAGUGAAUUCAUAAAGUCUAAGCUUCUAUUCUCACUUAAUAUAUUAAAAAACCAUUAACGAUUUUAAAAAUGGGUAGGAGCAUGUCAUCCUCACUGAAAGGUUUAUCAUUGAAAUUCCAACAAAAAAAAUAAAUGUAUAGAAAAAUAAAUUAUUUAAAAAGAGCAAAAAAAACAAAGGAGGUUUAUAGAAAAUAAGGGCUUACGAUUCUUCUGAACACAGGCAGUGGUACAGGCAUCAUAGCACCAAAUAGGCUCAUCCGCUCUCCCCAUUGUUUGAACAGACAGUAUUACCAGAGCCACCAAAAAGAACACCUCCACUUUCUUCAUCUCUAUACGUCUCUCUCUAAAAACCAACUGAUUUAAAUCUCUAUGCUGAAUUGCAGUCUCUAUUCUCUCUCCUCCAUCAAAGCUUCAUACUUUACUCUUCUAUAAAGUAAAGUCCAGGUGGGGAGAAUCAAUCAGAUCCAUGGGUGGGACUGCCUGUUUGUCUCUCUCUCUUUAAGUUUGAUAAAGCUCUGACAUAGUCAAUGUGGUUUGGACACUUGCGAUCAUGAACGCCCGAUGAAACGGCGGACGGUAGUGUAGAUAAAAGCAUAUGCUCGGAACAAAACAACCUUGCCAUUUUUCUCGAACUUAUUGACACGUUGUAAGUAUUUGUAGCCUCUUUAAUUCUUAAUGUAAAUGGUUUCGUUGUAUACAAUCUAUAUACAAUCUUAAAAAUAUAUAUAUAUAUAUAUAUAUAUAUAUAUAUAUGAAACUAUUUACCUUUGGUACAAAGUGGUCACAAUAAAUUUUGAUCAUUGGAUUUAAAAUUGAAUUGUGGCAUUUAUUUUUUUGAUCAAGCUCAAAGUUCAAAAUAAAUUUUUUCAAACUUUGUGAUACACCCAAACUAUUCCAAAAGUAAAUGGUCUUAUAUAUCAUCCCUUUUGGUAUAAAAUCGUUACUCAAAUGUUACAGUUUAAAGGAAAAAGUUGAUAUAAGGGUGAAGCCCUAAAUAAUCAAAUUAAGGUGCACUCCAAAUUUAUACUAGAAAAGGUUAUUUUGAUAUUGAAAGACCAUUAGUUCGAUCAUUUUGAUUUCGCGAUGUAUGGACAUAAAAAAACUAGAUUUCAAAUAUGAGAAAUAAUUCAUAUUGUAAUGUGUCUUCUAGACCGUAAAUUUUCAAUAUUUUCAAGUGUCAUAGAUAUAUUUGAUUCCGACUAUUUUUUAAUAUUUAAAUAUAAUAAUUAGAGUUGAAAAUAAAUUUUCAGGCCAUCAUAAGGAUUUUUUAUGAUGAAACAACAUAUUUCGACAUUAUUUGAAAGUGUUAUUUUGAUUGUUUGGGGCCUCAGCCUUAUAAAAACCCCAACCCGAUUUAAAAGAUCCCAAUCAAGGUUUAAAAAAACACUCGGAUUGGCCACCCAAAAAAUCAUGUUGGAUUAGUAGAUCAGAGAUUUGGAUAGGAAAAUCGGUCACAUCCGCAAGAGCCGGUAAUGUAGAGGAUGGGUGGUUUAUAUAAGAUUUUCAUAACCCUGCACUUUGAGUUCUCCUUGAAAUAUAAGUAGGAAGAAGAAGUAUGUUGAUUUUUUUUAAGGAAAAAAAUUAUAUAAAGGUGAGGCUCUAAACAAUCAAAUUAAGGCGUACCUCAAAAGUUCGCCAAAAGGAUAUCUCCUUGAAAUAUAAGUAAGAAGAAGUAUGUUGUUUUUUUUUAGGAAAAAAUUUAUAUAAAGGUCAGGCUCUAAACAAUCAAAUUAAGGUGUACCUCAAAAGUUCGCCAAAAUGAUUUGUUUUGAUAUUGAAAAACCUUUAAUUCAAUCUUCUCGACAUCAAGAUGUAUGAACAAGGGAAAAAAUUGAUUUCAAAUCUUGGAAACAAUGUAUCGUGUCAUGUAUUAUCUUGACCGUUACUUUUUAGGAAUUUUCUAUGUUUAUAGAUCUGCUUGAUCUACAUUAUUGUUAAAAAAUUUAUAUUAUAUAAUUAGAGAUAAAAAUAAGUAUUCAGACGAUCAUAAAGAUUUUUGAUACUGAAACAUUAUGUUUUGGUACUAUUUGAAGAUGUUUUUUACUUUAAUUGUUUAGAGCCUCGACUUUAUACAAACGACUACUUUUCUUUUAUGGCUUCAACAUAUGUAGUCUUCGAUUACGUACAUCAUGUAGUAAUUUGAUAAUGGAAAGGUUCUAUACUUUCCCUACAACAUAGAAGAUACAUACUCCCCCCAUCCAACUAUCCAAUUGAGAUCAAGUGAGCCACUGAUCGUUUGAUCUAUAGACCCGAUACCUUUGACCAUUUUAUUUUUAGUUUUUUUUAUAAAUUAUAUGAAAAUGAAAUUUGGUAGGUUCCUUAUUCUCAAUGGGACGAACUUAAAAAGACUAUUAAAAAUAAUUUUCAAAAUACCUCUUGAAUAUUUCAAAAAUAUUUUGGUCAUUUUAUUUUAUUGGGAAUAUGAAACUCACCAAAUUUUUUCUUGUGAUAGUGUGUGCCUUCUUCAACUCUUAUGCCUUUAAAGGAGAUAAAUGUUCUCCCUUUAUAUAUACACACAAACACGCCCACGGUAUUUUCCUAGGGGUGGCAACGGAUAGACCAAAUAAAAAUUAUAGGACCCUGAGCCAACCACCUGAAGUUGUCGGAUCCGGACCCAAUUGGACUUUAGACCUUACCGGAUCUUAGACCUUACCAAAAAAUAAAAGGGAAAUUAUUAUAAAUAAACCUAGCCCACACUCUUUUUUUUCAAAUUUGGGCUUUUUUUUACCAAAAUAACUUUUGUGGUAGUCAUAUUACUGUAAACAUAAAUACGGUAAGGAGUUGAAGCAUUAUUAUGGCACUCGAAAUUUAGUAAUAGUAUCGCACCCUAUAAACCCUACCCUAUCCGAAACCCUUGUUUCUUUACAGUUCUGUUUGUAUUUAUCUCUCUAAUUCUUUUUAUAUUUAUCUUUUCUACCUCUCUAUUUUUUUAUAUUUUUAAUAUCUAUCUCUUAUUUCUCUCUCAAAAUCUUUUAUCUUUCAAUCUUUAUCUCUUUGGAAGUUUAGAAUGGGAAAGAAGAGAUAAAUAUUAAAAAGAAUUAGAGAAAGGAAGAUGUGGUAAAUAUAAAAACAAUUAAAGAGAAAAAAGAGAUAAAUACUAUCUAAAUCUUUCUCUUUGACCGUUUAAAGAGAAAAAAGAAUAGAUAAAUAUUAAAAAGAGUUAGAGAGAGUGAGAAGAAAUAAAUAUAAAAAGAAUUAGAGAUAUAAAUAUAAAUAGAACCUUAAAGGAGAAAAGGAACUCCUUACGGUACUUAAAGUACAAUAAUGGUGCUUCACUGUAAUACUACACCAAAAAUUGAAAAAAAUGGUGUGGGUGAGGUUUAUGAAAGUUGAGNNNNNNNNNNNNNNNNNNNNGAUACCGGAUAUAAUUGCAUUGAAUCCCUCUAACAUUGGCAUCAACCAUAAAAAUAGCAUUCAAAACUAAAAAGAUAUCAGAUGUUGAACACAAAAGUUAUAAUUUUCAAGUAAAUAUAGGGUUUUACAGAUGGUCACUCUUGGACAGGGAGCUGGAAUCGGCAUAUUGGACAUGAAUUUCUCAAUUCCAACCACCGGAAGAUGCAAUCCGCAUGAUAGAUGUGAG
rnacentral:lncRNA from 1 species